AACAGAAAGAGAUCCAUCUGCGAUUGAUUCAACUAUUGAUUCAACGAUUGAUUCACAUCGACCUGAGAGCAGCUCUUCGUCUUCAUCAUCACUUCCUCCCAGUCAGACCCAGUAGAACCAGUCUGAUCCACAUCAAACCAGUUUGAUCCUGAGGAAACAGAUUGUUGGGAUUUCAGAGGUCAGAGCGUCCUCCAUCCUGAAGGUCAAAGGUCAGACGUUGAGCUGGAGGAUCCAGGAGGAUCAAACUGAACAACAGAGAGAAGGUCGUCACCAUGGAAAGAAAAAGACCUCGAAGUUCCUCACUUCCAAACAUUAAGUAUGAAGAAUCAUCUCCGACUCCCUCACCUGCAUCACAGGAGGAAUACUUAUCUCUGGGUCUGCUGAACAUUGAUGGUCUGAAAAAAAAAAUUUAUGAAGUGAAAAACAUUAUUGCUCGCCAUAAGGUUCAUGUUGUGGCUCUGUGUGAAACUAAACUCGAUGCCUCAGUUAAAGACAGCAAGGUUUAUAUACCAGGGUUCAGGAUAUGGAGGAAAGACAGAAACAGUU